rnacentral:rRNA from 1 species
AAGACUCAGAUUGAAUCGUGCUUGCGCACGAGUUGUAGAUGCAGGUGGAGUCUGUGUGGAAGGCGGGUCCAAUCCCUGGACAGGGCGCCCAGGAGGGUGAGAGCCCCGUGGGAUGCCGGCGGAAGCAGUGAGCCCUUCUGACGAGUCGAGUUGUUUGGGAAUGCAGCUCCAAGCGGGUGGUAAAUUCCAUCUAAGGCUAAAUACUGGCGAGAGACCGAUAGCGAACAAGUACUGUGAAGGAAAGAUGAAAAGCACUUUGAAAAGAGAGUGAAACAGCACGUGAAAUUGUUGAAAGGGAAGGGUAUUGCGCCCGACAUGGGGACUGCGCACCGCUGCCUCUCGUGGGCGGCGCUCUGGGCUUUCCCUGGGCCAGCAUCGGUUCUUGCUGCAGGAGAAGGGGUUCUGGAACGUGGCUCUUCGGAGUGUUAUAGCCAGGGCCAGAUGCUGCGUGCGGGGACCGAGGACUGCGGCCGUGUAGGUCACGGAUGCUGGCAGAACGGCGCAACACCGCCCGCUCUUGAAACACGGACC